CCUGGGGCCCUGCCUCAAGAUUGGUCCUCUUGGGCCACCGUCGCCCACCCGGCAGUAGCGUAUAUAGAUGCCUUUCUUGCAAGGUUGGAAUAAGACGUUAAAGGUGUUGAUUUCUGAUUUGGAGGACGCGAAAGCAACAGAGAUCCUCCCCGCUCUCCUUUCGCCCACUGACCCCCGACCUUCGCUCAGACACUUUGCAAGAGCCCCAGCCCGGCAUGAACCUUCCGGCGCGGCAGUCCCAGAGCCCACUUGCAGCCAUCCUCCUUGGUUGCUUCUAGGCCUGGCUGCGAGGAGUGGGACUCCCAACCUUUGUUGGGAGACAAAGAACAAGAAAAGGGAGCCUGGAAAAUUAACUGGCACAGAGGGAAUUGAAUCCAAGGAAUGCCCUACCACUGAAUUACAUCCACAGGCCUUUUUGUUCGUUUCAGACAAGAUGUCACUGAAUUGCUGAGGCUGAUCUCAAACUUGCAAUCCUCCUGCUUCAGCCUUCCCAGAUGCUGGGAUUACAGGUGUGUGCCACCACGCUGGGCUAGGAAAUUAUUUUCUAACAGAUGCUCACCAAUUCUAUACAAGAUAAGGGGAAGAUCUCAAAUGAGCCUGCUGCCAUUGCAAAAGAAUACCUAUUACCUCCUUCAUGCAAAGGGCUGUUUCUACAGUUUUCUACUCCCCUGGCCAGAGAUUAUUCAAAUGGAGAAAUGCGACAUUAAAAGUUUUAUGCGGGAGUAAAAUGCAUUAAAAAAAAAAAGUCUCAGACUCAUCUUAUUAACUCUGGUCCUUAACACAGCAUCUUUACAGGCCCCAUUCCAUCUCCUUUCUGGAUACAUCUUUAUGAUCCAGAUUCUGUUUUAUACCUUUCAGAAGUAAUAUUUCUCUCUUCUUUUAUGAAUAAGACAGGAUUAUUUGCUUAUGGAAAUCAGAGUAAUUACAGAGAUAUGAUAUAACAAAGUUAUAAAAUUAGAAAGGAGUCUUUAGGAAGAAGUAAAUGAGAAUGAAAAUUUCCCGAGGCAUUUCUACUUCUCCAGAAUGCCAUGUAGUGGGAAAAGCACUAGCUUUGCAGGUAAAUGAUUGUGUGAUAACUGUUUCUCUUUAAGUGUGCUAGUUACUAUACUAAGUGGCAAUAACACUUCAAGGAUAUCUUGGGAGGUUAUGAAUUCAUGCUAGGUCCUAACAAUGCUAGCUGAAAAUAGAAAAAUCUGGAAAACAAGAAAAUAGGGUAAAAGGAUGUACUUCCUUGGGAGAGCAGCUGAGAAGCUGGUAAUCUCAAAAUAGAAGUUUUCAAGACAGACACACUAUAAAGAACAAGUUCUAUGGACCCGACAUGGAACAUAAUAUAUUCAAAUGAUGCAUUUCAAACCAUUUGUUCACUUCUAUAUUAGAACCACAAAGAAUACAAUCAUUGCUAAAUAGAAGCUACGAAUAGAUGAAUGGGCCUUUGUAUUUACAGCCUUGGUUUAUUGGGAAACGAAUGAAUGUAUUAAAGAGAACCCUUCUUUUUCUCAACUGGAAUACCAAUUUACUGAUGCUUUAAGGUAAUUUUUCCAUAUAGUACACUUCCUAGUUGUUUCAAGUGCAUGUUUGAGACAUCUUAUCAUGCUAGCAGCACUAUUAUAUCUUCCUCUCCGACCGCCCCCCCUUCCUUAUAGAGCUAAGGAUCAAAACCAAGACUUCGUGCAUGCUUUACCACUGAGCUACAUCCCCCGUUCUACUGUAUCAUUUCUUGCAAAAGACUAUGUCAAACAAAGAAUAAAUGUGUUUUUUUCCUUUAUCCCUACUUUUUUUCAUUGUCCAAGGAAUACUCCAUAGAACAAUAAAUGCUGGAUUUAGGCUUCCAUCAUAUUAGGUACACUGAAAUUUGUGAGAGUGUAUGAAUUAUUUACAUAUUUUUCUUAAAAAAAAAUGAGACAGGGUUUUUUUGGGGGACAGGGUCUCACUAUGUUGCCCAGGCUGCUCUUCAACUCAUAUGCUUAAACCACACUCCUGUCAACCUCCCAAGUAGCUGGCACCACAAGUAUACACCACCACACCUCUUAAACUGGCAUACUUUGCAACUGAUUUAUAUCAUUGCCUUCUCCUCCACUCAGGUGGUUCUCUCUUCCUCUGUGAAUAUGAUUAUCUCUUCAUACUACAGUAGGGAUCAAAUGCCUUUUUCCAAGAACAUUUUCAUACCCUUCUCUUUUCUUUCAGUUUCCACUGUCAUCACCCUGUUAGGUAACUGAUAAUGAUGAUGACAACUGGUAAUAAAAAUGAUAAUGAUGUCUUAUUGCAAUAGUUCUUUUAUUGGUUUCUUUGCUUCUCAUUUCUCUCCAUUCCAUUGUGUUCUAUUUGCUGUAAUAGAGCAAUUCCUUCUGAAACAUGAAAAUGAUCUCAUCAUUUGCCACUACAAUCAUCAAGGGACAAGUAUAACCAUCUAACACAUUGUUCAUAAGCAAACAUGAAAGUAAGAACAGUAAUUUAUGUUAUCAAUUGAUCUUUGACUUCUAAGAGCAAAUACAUCUUUUCCAUGAAGACAGGGACUUCUGGCCAUCUAGCACCUGAAGAAUCCACAACACCUGCUUGGCACCCAGUAAGAAAUAAAUAUUUGGAGGGUGAAUAAGCUACAGUGAAGCAUAGGAAAAAAAUAAUUCACAUUCAGUCUUUGUUUUAAUAUUUAUUGGUAGAAAUAGAUCUUCAAUGCAUACUUUGUGUUUAUAGAAAUUCUACAUUCUCUUAAGGUUUCUUCUUGUUUUCUUUGGAGUUUUUUGACCUCCAAGUGAACUUAACAUUUUAUCUAUGCAUUUGAUUCUUUAUAAUAGACUUUUUUAAAAUCUAAAUUUGAAAAAACCAUGCAUCUUGUAUACCUUAUACUUAAUCCAAAGAAUUAUUUGCACUUCCAAAAAAGUCACAAAAAAGGCUGAACUCAAGUUAAAUAAUCUAUAUGACCUAAAUUUUCCAUGUCCCAUUCCUGAAUAAAAAAUACUUGUUCAGUAUUACAUAUUGCUUGCUAUCUAGUAAGUCAGAUUGUCAGAGACGCUUCAGUAAAUUAUCUUUACUUCAGAAUUAUAUCUUAAUCUUCUCAGAGAUGAUCUUGUCAAUAGUAAACAUUGUGCCAUAUGUAGUAUUAGUCCAAAAAGCUUAAAUAAGAAUCAAACUUGUAGUUUUUAGACUGGACAUUUUAAUCUUAAAAUUAUAUAUCUAUCUAUAUAUAUAUACACACAAGGUAUACUGUGUAUUAAAUUAUCAUUUCAAGUAACUUAAAUAUUUAUAUUUAGCAAACAUUCAGCCAAACAUUCUUUCAAAGGCUUAGACACCAAUGUCUUGACUUAGCACUAAGCCUGUGAAACUUGAAAAUCCAAGAAAUGUCUGCUGUAGUAUUAACAAUAAGACUGAUUUUCAACUUACUGAAUUGUGCAGAUACAAAAGUGCUUAGCAUGACAAAAUUACCAAAAUAAAAACAUUUUAAAGGUUAUUUGGUUCUAGCAAUAUUAACUAUUCUGGACUUUUGGAUAAUUUAACAUUUGCAUUUUAAAUUUCAUAUAAAUUUCCUCUUUUUAACAAGUUAAAAAAGCACACAAAAAAUAGUUUAAACUAUAAUCUGUUAUUUUUCAUCCUGGUUAGCUCAUCACAAAUAACUCAACAAAAGAAUGCUUCAAUAGUCAUCUCUAUUAAAAUACAAUAUUUGAAUAGAUCCCAUCAUUUCACCCAUUAUUUGCUAUGCCGGAUCCUAAAACAGGCUGCCGACAGAUUGGACAAGUGCAAUUCUCUGAGAGCCAUCGGUCAAUACAAUGAAUGUGAAAUUCAUGCAUGCAAGGUAAUUGCCUGAGCUUGUUUCCAGUUACAUAGUCACUGAUACAAACACUACAGAUUUUACCUAGUUCACUAUCAAUACCAUUAUGCUCAUAGUUCCGGGUGGAAAGAUUGUCUAUCUGCUCUUUGGUUAAACCACGUAUUCGAUCAUCAUCAUCACCUUCGUUUAGUAAAAAGAAAUGAGCAAGGCGAAGAAUAGGUAGCGUUCCAGUUUCAACUAAAUUGUUUGAAUUUCGCAACUGCCUGCCUCCUCUACUGUCACUGUUUUGAGUCUGAGGCUGGGUGGUCUCAUUUUCAGCUUGCAUUUCAGUGCUGUCUUCUUGGGCUUCCCUGGCUUGAGAGAAACCUUCACUGAGCUGGCUGUUUUCAUUAACUGUACCUAAGUUACUCAGUUCUGAAUGCAUCUCUGGUAAAUGCUGACCAUUUCUCUGAAUCUCUGACUCAGACUCAGCCUCCAUUAAAGAACUCAAUUCUCCAAACCCAGUCAUGAUCUGCCUUAAAAUAGACCGAAGAGCCACUGAGGAUGGCUCAACAAGCUCAUUCUCAGAAAUCCUCCGAAGAGGAACUGUUAUGGUACUAACAUAGGUUCGAAUACCUGACCGCUCUAAACGAGAAAUAGUUCGGCGAAAGCCCCCACUAUUGCUUUCAACAGUGACUGUAUUUUCUGCUAGCCCUACUCUAGAGCGGGUUCUAUUUGCAAUGCUAUCCCUAUCUCUAUUUUCUCCAGGACGAAUUCUCCUCACUUGAAGAUCCAGUGUGAUUGUUGGAUGUCGUCGUACAGCAGUUGAGGAUCUGCUGGAUUCUUCUCCUUCUUCUACUGUUAUUCUUGACACAAGUCUUGAAUUAGAGAAUGGGGCACUUACAGUACCUCUGCGUUCUCUAUCUUGCUCUACAAAGACCCGAGUUAUACCUCUCCUCCUCACAGACCUUCUAACUGUUUGCUGCAAAGGUCUACUUUCCCUUUGGGAAUUAUGAUAAGCAGUGCCACUCUGUCUCUGAAUUGGUGAACGGCUUCGACUGCUGAAAGCAGACCGUAAUCUUAUUGGCUCUAAUCUUUGGUUUGUAUUUCUCACUGUGACAUUAGUUCUAGCUCCAUUUUCCCAAAUAUGUGCUGCUCCAAAUCUUUGCCCCUCCCUUUGCCUGAGUUCACUACCACCUGAUUGGUUUGUGUGAUUACUAAAAUUAGCACGCGAAGCACUAGUUCUAGGAAUGCCAACUGCCUGCCCAAUUCUAUUCCUUAACCUUCCCAGUGUUGAAAGUGAUCCUUCAACUAAAUUCUGCUCCCUUGAACCAAGCCUUGUCCUUGUAAUGGUGGAACUAUUACCACUGAAAUCCAUGGAGGUUUGGCUUCUUGUUCGCCUAGCCACAGGACUAGUUGAUCUUUCUUGCCUAUUGCUAGUACGAUCCCUGCUAAUAUCUGAAAGUGGAAUGCCUGAAUAAUCUUCUCCAUUAAUUUCAAAUCCUCUAUUCUCAUGAUUUAUGUGGAUUUCCAGACUAAACCGAAACUCUCCACUGUUUGGGUUUGUUCGACUCACAGCUCUCCAAGUUUGGUUCCCAUUUUGUCCACUUCGAGUUGCAUUUCCUGUGCGACGAAAGGUGUUCAACCAUUCUAGCAGAGAAUCUUCAUUUGAACUUUCUCGAGGGACUUCUGAGUCUGGAAAGCAAAUCAAAUCAACUUCAGAUCCAACUCCUAAAAUCUGUCCUUAGAACUUUUUUAAAAGCUUAUAAGAAAAUUAGUUUGUACUGAAGAACAUCUGUGAGUUUUAAUGAAAGAAAAAUGGCCAAAAAACAAAAACUAUGAACUUCCUAAAAGUAUAUACUAUAAGCAUAUUAUAAAAAUAGUAAUACUGGGGGUGGGGUUGUGGCUCAGUGGUAGAGCACUUGCCUCACACAGGUGAGGCACUGGGUUCUAUCCUCAGCACCACAUAAAAACAAAUAAAAUAAAGGUAUUGUGUACAUCUACAGCUAAAAAUAUUUUAAAAAUAGUAAUACUAUUUAUGUAAUUACAAAACUUCAAAUACUAUUUAUUCAAAGUUGGAGAAAUUCCCAUACCUGCUUUCUGUUUGUGGCAAAAUAUUCAAAUGAGAAAUAUAUCCAAUACCAAAAGUGUACAUUUAAACUUUUUUACUUCAUGUACUAAUAUUAAUAAAAUACAUUGGCAAACUUUAUGUAAAACUCA